GUACAUGCCCUAACAUUACUCCAAAAUCUGAUCCCCAUCAGCCCUAUCAGAACACUAUUUAAAAGCUCAGCUUACUUCAACUGUGGCAAAACAGUUAUGGCCCAGGUAAACAGAAGAAGGUAGACUCCACCGUAACAAAUUUAGUUAACAGGAAGCAAUCCCAGAUCUAUAGGCACAGAGAAGAAUAAGAGAGAAACUUCACCCUAAUGAAAUUUAGACUUGAGUUUUAGAAGAUUUUCCUGGAAAGACUAAGUAGAGUCAAGAGUUGAGAUAAAGUGAAGGCAUGAAAAGCAGAAUGAUGUGGAAUUUAAAAGAUGAAGAGCUAUAAACGUGUUAAUUUAAUUGGCACGAUCUCUCGAAGACAGAUCCACUGCAACCACGAAGAAGAAUUAUCCUUUCUACACAGGGCCAUUUUUCCACGAUGCUACUACAUUGGCCAUCACAGAGCACAAUGGCAUCACCAGAAACCAAGAAGAUGGUAAGGCCUGGAGGUGGCAGAGCUGAAGAGAGUACAUGACCCAGCAGAAGAAAUAAGCACAAAUACAAAUGGUGACAGAAAAAUAAGAUGUGUCACAACUGACUUAGAUUCCAACAACCACAACAGCACAGAGGAGGAAGCGAGGUGGUGCUCCCUGGAAUGACCCAAACACAACAAUAUCUGAGCUUGCUCUUGAAGGACUAGCAGUUUACCAAGCAAAAUGGAAAACAGAAAUUGAGUCCAGGUCUAGAUAUCAAGAAGCACAAAGAGAUCCAGAAAAGACCAUGGAGAAUUCAAAGACCAGCAACAGGCUUCAAAAGCCUUCUAUGAAUAGGGCAUGCAUGGACCCUUCUCCUCUCACCCCCCAGCACAUAUGAAGGGGUAUGGACAGUGUUGGAACAAGAUGGUCUUGGAUUCAGAAAUAAAAGGAGUCAGAAGCUGAAGACCUAAGGGUAACACAAGACUUCCGGGUUCUGGCCGGGCGCGGUGGCUCACGCCUGUAAUCCCAGCACUUUGGGAGGCCGAGGCGGGCGGAUCACGAGGUCAGGAGAUCGAGACCAUCCCGGCUAAAACGGCGAAACCCCGUCUCUACUAAAAAUACAAAAAAUUAGCCGGGCGUAGUGGCGGGCGCCUGUAGUCCCAGCUACUUGGGAGGCUGAGGCAGGAGAAUGGCGUGAACCCGGGAGGCGGAGCUUGCAGUGAGCCGAGAUCCCGCCACUGCACUCCAGCCUGGGCGACAGAGCGAGACUCCGUCUCAAAAAAAAAAAAAAAAGACUUCCGGGUUCUGAAAGCAGUGCAGCUUGGAAUUUUCAGAAAGUGAAUUGACUUCCUGUAGCUGAUUGUUUUUUAUUUUAGGAAAAUAAAAAUUAUUACUUUUUGUUUAAAUGA
rnacentral:lncRNA from 10 species